UAGACACCAAGACAGACCACGUCAAAGCCCCCUAACUAAAGAACUGAACUAAGUGGGCCCUGUCCUAAUGUCUUUGGUUGGGGCGACCACGGGGAAAUACAAAACCCCCGCGUGGAAUGGGAGCACCCUGCUCCUACAACUGAGAGCUUCCGCUCUAAUAAACAGAAUUUCUGACCAACAAGAUCCGGCAACGCCGAUCAACGAACCGAGUUACCCU
rnacentral:rRNA from 1 species